UAGGGGAAGUCUUCCACCAAUGGACGCAAGUCUGAUGGAGCAACGCCGCGUGAGUGAAGAAGGGUUUCGGCUCGUAAAGCUCUGUUGUUAAAGAAGAACGUGGGUAAGAGUAACUGUUUACCCAGUGACGGUAUUUAACCAGAAAGCCACGGCUAACUACGUGCCAG
rnacentral:rRNA from 1 species